rnacentral:rRNA from 1 species
GUCUACGGCCAAGCCACCCUGAACACGCCCGAUCCCGUCUGAUCUCGGAAGCUAAGCAAGGUCGGGCCUGGUGAGUACUUGGAUGGGAGACCACCUAGGAAGACCAGGUGCUGUAGGUG